rnacentral:rRNA from 1 species
UACCAGCACCCCGAGUGGUCGGGACGUUUAUUGGGCCUAAAGCAUCCGUAGCCGGUUCUACAAGUCUUCCGUUAAAUCCACCUGCUUAACAGAUGGGCUGCGGAGGAUACUACAAGGCUAGGAGGCGGAAGAGGCAAGCGGUACUCAGUGGGUAGGGGUAAAAUCCUCUGAUCCAUUGAAGACCACCAGUGGCGAAGGCGGCUCACUGGCCCGGUACUGACGCUGAGACGCGAAAGCGUGGGGAGCGAACAGG